UGCGGAAGUUGAAGGACUUCCUGCUCUCCACCAUCUUGCGGAACUGUUGCCUCAGUUUCCUCAGCUCCGCCUCUGCCAGCUGCUCUUUGGCCUUCUCGCAGGGGGCGCUGUGUGCGCCGAACUUACCACCCGCGGCUCCAAGUAGCGGGCUCCGCGAGCGUUUGGGCUGCAGCCAGCUCCACACCCCGCGUUCUCCGCCCUGGAAUACGCGCCUUUGUGACAGCGGCGACUCGCGUUCUCUACGGACUGCCUAGACCGCAGGACCCACGGGGAACCCGCAGCUUCCCCAAGGGAACAGGGCAACACACUCCUUAGCUACCCUCAACUACCCCAUGUGAAACCAGCCGCGCCAAGAGAUCUCCCUGGCCACCAAGUCACAUUCCUGCUUAAUUCAUCAGUGUGCUGAUUCUUCAGGAUAUUGCCAACCUGGUUGAACUCAGGACCUGAGAGUCUGAAGAUGCAGAAAUAAGAGUGAGGGAAUAGUCAGGCAGUGGUGGCGCACACCUUUAAUCCCAGCACUCAGGAGGCAGAGGCAGGCGGAUCUCUGUGAGUUCAAGGCCAGCCUGGUCUACAAGAGCUAGU